rnacentral:rRNA from 1 species
GACGAACGCUGGCGGCGUGCCUAAUACAUGCAAGUCGAGCGAACAGACGAGGAGCUUGCUCCUCCGACGUUAGCGGCGGACGGGUGAGUAACACGUGGAGAACCUGCCUAUAAGACUGGGAUAACUUCGGGAAACGGGAGCUAAUACCGGAUAAUAACUUUAAACGCAUGGUUCAAUAGUGAAAGACGGUAUUGCUGUACCUUAUGAAUGGAUCCGCGUGGCAUUAGUUAGUGGGUAAGGUAACGGCUUACCAAGGGGACGUACCGUAGCCGCCCUGAGAGGUGGAUCGCCCACACUGGAACUGGACCACGGUCCAGACUCCUACGGGAGGCACCAGUAGGGAAUCUUCCGCAAUGGGCGAAAGCCUGACGGAGCAACGCCGCGUGGUUGAUGAAGUUUUUCGGAUCGUAAACCCCUUUUAUUAGGGAAGAACAAAUGUGUAAUUAACUAUGCACGUCUUGACGGUACCUAAUCAGAAAGCCACGGCUAACUACGUG